AUGCUGGCACCGGCACCGUAUCACGCACCGGCGGAGGAGGGCAAGGCGGAGAGUGGGAAGACCAGGGAUGGCCUUCGUUCUGGAGGUAAAUUAGACACCGAGUCCGGGGAAAUCGACAUUUCUUCAUCCGAAGACAAAGGCGAAGGAGAGGUAAGCAUCCCUUCUCUAUACAGGAAGAAAAGGGCCACCUCCGAAGGUUGGGAGGAACUGACUCCCAAGAGGGGCAAGAUGCCAUUGUCGGGCGGCUCGGGAUUAGAAGGCGACGCCGUCGAAGAUCUCCAUCGUGAGGAUAGGCCUUUGACAAAAUCGUAA
rnacentral:rRNA from 1 species